rfam:Schistosoma rodhaini strain Burundi genome assembly, scaffold: SROB_scaffold0001662
AUCCAGCUGACGAGUAUCAAAUAGGACGAAACGCGCGUCAAACUGGAU